UACGUAGGGUGCGAGCGUUAAUCGGAAUUACUGGGCGUAAAGUGUGCGCAGGCGGCCUCGCAAGUCAAGUGUGAAAGCCCCGGGCUUAACCCUGGGAACUGCGCUUGAAACUACGGGGACUCGAGUGGUGGCAGAGGAAGGUGGAAUUCCACGUGUAGCGGUGAAAUGCGUAGAGAUGAUGGAGGAACACCGAUGGCGAAGGCA
rnacentral:rRNA from 1 species